UACGAAGGGGGCUAGCGUUGCUCGGAAUCACUGGGCGUAAAGGGUGCGUAGGCGGGUCUUUUAAGUCAGGGGUGAAAUCCUGGAGCUCAACCUCCAGAACUGCCUUUGAUACUGAAGAUCUUGAGUUCGGGAGAGGUGAGUGGAACUGCGAGUGUAGAGGUGAAAUUCGUAGAUAUUCGCAAGAACACCAGUGGCGAAGGCGGCUCACUGGCCCGAUACUGACGCUGAGGCACGAAGGCGUGGGGAGCAAACAGG
rnacentral:rRNA from 1 species